rnacentral:lncRNA from 1 species
UCAGAGUAACAUAUUCCAACUUCCAUCUCGCACGACAAAAAUCUUCCUCCAAUAUCGCACUACUGGGGAAUACCGUUGACCCAACGUCGCGAUGCUAAACUCCUCAGAGUAACAUCUUCUAACUUCCAUCUCGCACGACAGAAAUCUUCCUCCAAUAUCGCACUACUGGGGAAUACCGUUGACCCAACGUCGUGAUGCUAAACUCCUUAGAGUAACUUCUUC